AUGGCUAUUUGGGUUGAUUGGCAGUUGACAUUCUUUAGAAUUAUUGUUUUGAUUGACAGGCAGGCCGUCGUCAAGGCGAAGGACGACUCUCGCGCCGUCUCCAGGGGAAGCUCCCUCCCUGCUGCAUUACUUUCAACAGCUUCAUCACUGCCAUGGGUUAUUUAAUUUUGGUACACUUUCCCCACAAAUAUGCGUUGUUGUACUUUUGGAUGUACUUCUCCGUAUUCUGUAAGGACCUCUGCAGUUUUGGCAAACAACAAACCACACUUCACCUGGAAAACAGAGCCAGGACUCACUGUCAGAUGUCUGCAAAUGUACAGUAGGCUACACGCCAGCAGGUCUCACCAUAGUCAGCAUCAUCAAGGAUUGUCACUCCGACCUGAGAAGAGGCCCCAUAGAGACACGGACAAGGACCAGCCACUGUUGCCAGUGCACAACUGAGGACCCGACCAGCCUGCUGCCAUCUAUGAUACUAUAUAGUACCCGCGGAGCGGUCUGAAGACGUGGAGUACACUGCAGCAGGUAUCACAUGACCAAGGACUUGGACAACGUCUCUGUUUACAUCUAUAGUGUAUUACACAAGUGAGUGUACACCCCCAUAUUUCUGCAGAUGUAAUGGGACAAUAAAGACAUUUGAAAACUGAAAAUGAAGUCUGCACUUCAAGCUCAUCACAUUAAAUAAGUAAAACAGGAGCUUGGUGAGCAGACUUAAUUUUCAGUUGUCAUUUGACUUUGUUAGUCCUGCACCCAAAACUUUUUUGAGAAGGAUGUUCAUGGGUUUUUCCUUUUUAAACAAAUGUAGACAUUUUUACUACACUGAAAUGUUAUAGUUACUCUAUAUAUACCAGUGAUAUGCUUCAAUUAUGUUCAUGUUACAUUAAUUAUUUUUUUAAAAAUAGAUUUGUAUUUAUCGUUACAGCUGAAGAUGUACAGUACGCUGCUGCCUGCAUCCUGCCACCACAGAGGAUCCGAUAUGCAGAACCAGCUUCAAAAACCAUUGCAAUUAUGAAACACAGUUAAUAAAUGCUUAUAUACAGCAGCCCACACAUUUUGUUUAAUUUGUAAUAUUGGUUAACACACUAUUGUUACAACUGUUUAGAUCGGUGUUUCCCAACCAGGGGUACAUGUACCACUAGGGGUACGUGAACACAAUGCAGGUGGUACAUGCAUUGGCAGGUAUCAAUAAAAAGAAAUGUAUGGAGCAUAAUCAUAU